rnacentral:rRNA from 1 species
GAAGGCCUUCGGGUUGUAAACCUCUUUUAGUAGGGAAGAAGCGAAAGUGACGGUACCUGCAGAAAAAGCACCGGCUAACUACGUGCCAGCAGCCGCGGUAAUACGUAGGGUGCAAGCGUUGUCCGGAAUUAUUGGGCGUAAAGAGCUCGUAGGCGGUUUGUCGCGUCUGCUGUGAAAACUGGAGGCUCAACCUCCAGCCUGCAGUGGGUACGGGCAGACUAGAGUGCGGUAGGGGAGAUUGGAAUUCCUGGUGUAGCGGUGGAAUGCGCAGAUAUCAGGAGGAACACCGAUGGCGAAGGCAGAUCUCUGGGCCGUAACUGACGCUGAGGAGCGAAAGCAUGGGGAGCGAACAGGAUUAGAUACCCUGGUAGUCCAUGCCGUAAACGUUGGGAACUAGAUGUAGGGGCCAUUCCACGGUUUCUGUGUCGCAGCUAACGCAUUAAGUUCCCCGCCUGGGGAGUACGGCCGCAAGGCUAAAACUCAAAGGAAUUGACGGGGGCCCGCACAAGCGGCGGAGCAUGCGGAUUAAUUCGAUGCAACGCGAAGAACCUUACCAAGGCUUGACAUAUACCGGAACGGCUAGAGAUAGUCGCCCCGCAAGGUCGG